AGAAAAUAUGGUUCAUGUCUGUAGAUAAAGUUGUAGUAUCUUCAAUCCAGAAAAUUUGGAUGAGAUUGUUUGUACAGAACAGACACAUAUGACCUUCGAUCAAUCCAUCACUAAUUACAUAAACUUUGUUAGCCACUGUCAUUUUUCUGUUGUUACGUGGGGAGAACCCAAUCUUAUGAUGACAAAUGAAAUCCUGAUGAAGAUCCGUGUUUUCUGGAUGGCAUGUGGUAACGAACUUUCUUCCAGAACCUUGUACUUGCUGAGUGUGACCUUUCCGAGAAGUCCCCUGUCCAUCGGAUAGCUCCAUACUUUUGCUUAACAUAUUUGAUGGAUUCUGGCAUGUUUGCAUAAUCUUCUAUUUUUUCAAGUUCAAUCAAAAUUAUUUUUAUACCAUCCUGGAUAAGAGCAUUAUACACAGCAAGAUGUUUUUCAGAUGCAUCUUCUAGAAUACCAUAACAUGAUGGUUCUGGUACUAAGAUAAUUAUUACUCUUCUACUUUGAUGGAUUUUUUCAUCAGUAACAUCGAUCACAGCUUCUCCUGCUAAAUCAUUC
rnacentral:lncRNA from 1 species